GAAUGACUACUGCAACUUUGGUGUGCGACGUUGCAGUUGAGGCCCACUGCCCGGAUAGAGUCAUGAGGCAGUUCGGUCGACGCCAGUCUUUCCCUGUAUCUUCAGCGUUGGAUCGUGUUCAGCGCCACGAUCAUAGUUUAUCAAGGGCUGGACAUCCUUUCUCGACAAUGUGGGUCACUAGAUUACAACCAUGGGUGGCUGCGUGGGAUGAUGCAGGCGAGCAGUUGGCAGAGGAUACCGGUCCACACACUGAGCCUUCGUUUCGGGCGUACCUGACCUGGUACGAACCGAAGACUCGUUGCCGUUUGACGUAUGUUGACAUGCAUUCACAGCCGCAUGUUGCGACUUCGCAGGAUCGCUAUGCAUGACACAGGGAUGAGGCAUUAGCUGGGGCGUUCGAGGCCUGUAGGUUGCUUGAAUUAGAUUGCUCACUGAAUGUAAUGAGGAUUCAUGGCGGGUCUACGAUGAGCAUGCGGGCACAACUCGAGGCCUGGACCACUCAACGUGAUAGAGCUCGAGGCAUCCUUCAGGCCUUUGGUACGCGGACGGAGUACGAGGAUUCAUACGGAUCGUCGCAAGCAUCGACGUCGGUUCCUUGUGGUCCCGCAUGGCAGCAGCCUCCCUUAUACCACCGACAGUACGAAGGUAUGGUGUGAUAUUUACCGAUCCGUAUGUUUAUAUGCAGUAUUUAAAUAUGACUC